rnacentral:rRNA from 1 species
CAGCAGUAGCCGCGGUAAUACGGAGGGGGCUAGCGUUGUUCGGAAUUACUGGGCGUAAAGCGUACGUAGGCGGUUUUGUAAGUUAGAGGUGAAAGCCUGGUGCUCAACACCAGAACUGCCUUUAAGACUGCAUCGCUUGAACGUCGGAGAGGUGAGUGGAAUUCCGAGUGUAGAGGUGAAAUUCGUAGAUAUUCGGAAGAACACCAGUGGCGAAGGCGACUGACUGGACAAGCAUUGACGCUGAGGUGCGAAAGCGUGGGGAGCAAACAGGAUUAGAUACCCCUGUAGUCCCUGUCUCUUAUAC